rnacentral:rRNA from 1 species
UACGUAGGGGGCAGGCGUUGUCCGGAUUUAUUGGGCGUAAAGAGCGUGUAGGCGGCCAGACAGGUCAGCUGUGAAAACUCGAGGCUCAACCUCGAGACGUCGGUUGAAACCGUCUGGCUAGAGUCCGGGAGAGGUGAGUGGAACUCCGAGUGUAGAGGUGAAAUUCGUAGAUAUUCGGAAGAACACCAGUGGCGAAGGCGGCUCACUGGCCCGGUACUGACGCUGAAAUACGAAAGCGUGGGGAGCAAACAGG